rnacentral:lncRNA from 1 species
AAGAAAGUAGACUGAAAACUUGAAAACAAUCUAUUUCAGUUUAAUACAAAUAAACAUGUAAAAAUACUUAUGAGUGCCUGUCAGUGCCAGUCCCUGAUAGGUGCUGAAAAUAUAACAGUUAUCUAAACUGGCUCUGCCCUCAUGGAGAUUGUAUAGAUUAAUGACUCUCAAGCUUUAAUUUGCAAUCAAAACAUGCGAGGAUCCUGGUGAAGUGUGGAUGCUGAUUCAGUAGCUUUAGGGUGGAGCCUGAGAUUUUGUGUUUCUAAUAAAUUGAUGCUGCUGGUCCCAGAACAAAUUUUCAUAAUUAAGAUUCAGAUAAUUGAAAUAUGUACUCCAACAAUUACUGGUAUAGGAAUUAGAACCCAUGUAGUCAACCAUUAUCUUUACUGUGAGAUUAAACACAUUUUGGAAAGAUGGGCUAGGAAAUAUUUUGUUGACAAUAGUGGCUAAUUAUACUAUGAGAGUCAGAAGAAACUGUGCAAAGGUAUCUUUACGAACCAUUUAAUCAAAUUGUUUUAAAAAACCUUUCCCAAUACACAUCAUAGAUGUAGAGUAGAUACUAG